GGAUAUACGCCCAUGGACUGAGAACCGGCCCAGACUCUACGGAGGCAGCAAUUGGGAAUUUGGAACAUGGGGCACCUGAAUCCAGGCCAUGCGCUGGCGGGAAGAAGCUUCGAGUUGUAAACCGCUUUUAGCGGGAAGAAAAGGCAGGGGCUACACUCUCUGUUCUGACGGUACGGCGGAAUAAGCACCGGCUAACUACGUGCCAGCAGCGCGGUAAUACGUAGGGUGCGAGCGUAAUCGGAAUUACUGGGCGUAAAGCGUGCGCAGGCGGUUCGUUAAGUCUGAUGUGAAAGCCCCGGGCUCAACCUGGGAAUGGCAUUGGAUACUGGCGGGCUUGAGUGUGGCAGAGGGGGGUGGAAUUCCGCGUGUAGCAGUGAAAUGCGUAGAGAUGCGGAGGAACACCGAUGGCGAAGGCAGCCCCCUGGGCUGACACUGACGCUCAGGCACGAAAGCGUGGGGAGCAAACAGGAUUAGAUACCCUGGUAGUCCACGCCCUAAACGGUGAUCACUGGGUGUUCGGGGAGCGAUCUCUGGGUACCGUAGCUAACGCGUGAAGUGAUCCGCCUGGGGAGUACGGUCGCAAGAUUAAAACUCAAAGGAAUUGACGGGGACCCGCACAAGCGGUGGAUGAUGUGGAUUAAUUCGAUGCAACGCGAACAACCUUACCUACCC
rnacentral:rRNA from 1 species